CCCAAAAAUAUAUCGGCCUCGUCUAGACGAAUUGGAGGCGUGUAAUGAUUUGAAACUCAUCCUGAAAUAUCUGUGGACUGUGCUGACCGUGCUGAGAUGAGUGGUUCGGCGAGGCGGACCUUGGAAACACCUACAUGGCCAUCACGACUGAAGUGGUGUUCGCCGACAGGUAAAAUGCAGGUGCAACCUUCACAGGCUGACAGAGAUUGAGUGAUAACAGACACUGGAGACCCUCCAAGCGAUGGCUGGUGACCGCCUGCCACCAUCCACAGGCUGUCACACAAGGAGCCCUGGGAGUAACCUUGCUGGAAGCCCCGCGGGCCGCAGUGUGUGGCUGGCGUUAUACAGCCCCCAGCCAUCGCCUGGAGGGCAUCCAGUGUCUGUUAUCACUCACCUUAGGUAGUCUGUGAAGGUCCAGUCAUCACUGGUGCACGUGUAUCUUACCUGUGAUCAACACCGGCAGCCACAGACUCCUGCCCAAGGAACGAACACAGUGAUCGUGAUGACAUUGACAACAACGAGCAAGUCCUCCUAGACCUAGAGUGACCUCAAGCUGGGCCAAACAUGAUGUGGAAGAAGAAAUCAGUUGUCUCCAUCAGUC